GACGAACGCUGGCGGCGCGCCUAACACAUGCAAGUCGAACGGAAAGGCCUGCUUUCCCUUGUGGAUUGCGGGUCCUCGAGUGGCGAACGGGUGAGUAACACGUGAGUGAUCUGCCCCCAACUUGGGUAUAAGCCUGGGAAACUGGGUCUAAUUACCGAUAGGACUGCAGGGUGGUGCCUGUGGUGGAAAACGAUUUUCUAGUGGUUGGGGAUGAGCUCGCGGCCUAUCAGCUUGUUGGUGGGGUAAUGGCCUACCAAGGCGACGACGGGUAGCCGGUCUGGGCCUGUGAGGGGUGACAGCGACAUUGAGACUGGGUCCCGACCCAGACGGCAGCGGGAGGCAGGAGAGGGGCAGAAUGGACAGUGAGCCGAAGCCUGAUGCAGCGAGGCCGCGUGGAGGAUCUCGGCCUUCGGGUUGUAAACUCCUUGCGAACAAGAGGAGGCCACCUGGUUGGAAGGGUGGUGACGGUAGUGGUAGAAGAAGCACCGGCUAACUACGUG
rnacentral:rRNA from 1 species